CUUCUGGCAAUUGUCAGGAAUUUAGCCGAUUAUAACUUUUGUGAAUUUAUAAUUAUAAUUAAUUAUUGACAUUCUUUUGCAAAGGAUAUUUAGUAUGUUAUCAGCUGUCAUUAAUUUUUAAUUUUCGACUUUUAUUUCGGGAUUUUGAAUUCUAAAAUUAUCAAUGUAAUCAUUAUUAAUGACAGCUUAAUUACCAGCAGUCUCGGUAAUUCAAGCUUUGCUAAAUACCUAAAUAAAAGAUAUCUGGUUGAUCCUGCCUGAACUGAUGUGUUUAUUUCAAAGAUUAAGCCAUGCAUGUAUAAGUUUAAUCGUUUAUCGAGAAACCGCGAACGGCUCAUUACAAUGGCCAUUAUUUACUUGAUCUUGAUUGUCUAAAUGGAUAACUGUGGAAAAGCUAGAGCUAAUACAUGCACUAAAGCUUUGUCCUUACGGAAAAGCGCAUUUAUUAGAACAAAACCACGCGGCUUCGGCUGCUUCUUGUUGACUCAGAAUAACUUAGCUGACCGCAUGGCCUUGUGCCGGCGGCGUGUCUUUCAAGCGUCCACUUUAUCAACUUGACGGAGCAUAAUCGACUCCCGUGGUGGUGACGGAUAACGGAGGAUCAGGGUUCGACUCCGGAGAAGGGCCUGAGAAAUGGCCACUACGUCUAAGGAUGGCAGCAGGCGCGCAAAUUACCCACUCUCGGCUCCAGGAGGUAGUGACGAGAAAUAACGAGACUGUUCUCUUUGAGGCCGGUCAUCGGAAUGGGUACAAUUUAAACCCUUUAACGAGUAUCAAGCAGAGGGCAAGUCUGGUGCCAGCAGCCGCGGUAAUUCCAGCUCUGCAAAUACAUAGAAUUAUUGCUGCGGUUAGAAAGCUCAUAGUUGGAUUCGUAUCGAUACCUUGGAACCCUUCGGGUGUCUCUAGGUGUUAUCGAUUUAUCGUAAUGUUCGGUUUUGAGUCCUUAACAGGAUUCUUAACAGGCAUUGCAAGUUUACUUUGAACAAAUCAGAGUGCUUCAAACAGGCGUUUUCGCUUGAAUGAUCGUAACUGUUUACAGUAGGGUGGCGGAAGAGCGUACGCGGUGAGACCCGAAAGAUGGUGAACUAUUCCUGAGCAGGACGAAGCCAGAGGAAACUCUGGUGGAAGUCCGAUGCGGUUCUGACGUGCAAAUCGAUCGUCUGACUUGGGUAUAGGGGCGAAAGACUAAUCGAACCAUCUAGUAGCUGGUUCCCUCUGAAGUUUCACCCAGGAUAGCUGGAGCUCAAGAGUAGUUAUACUCGGUAAAGCGAAUGAUUAGAGGACUUGGGAACGAAAUGUUCUUAACCUAUUCUCAAACUCUAAAUGGUUAUGAUGUCAAAGUUGCUUGAUUUUGAACUUUGGCGUUGAAUACGAGCUCCAAGUGGGCCAUUUUUGGUAAGCAGAACUGGCGAUGUGGGAUGAACCAAACGCGGAGUUGCGGUGCCAAAGUAUCCGCUCAUUAGACCCAUAAAAGGUGUUGGUUGAUACAGACAGCAGGACGGUGGCCAUGGAAGUCGGAAUCCGCUAAGGAGUGUGUAACAACUCACCUGCCGAAUCAACUAGCCCUGAAAAUGGAUGGCGCUGGAGCGGGUCACCUAUACUCUGCCGUCAUAAGCUUGUAUUUUGUUAAAAAGUCUUGCAAUGACGUGUAAGAGGGUCGUAGUGGUUGCGUUGAAGGCUUUGGUGUGCACCCAGCUGGAGCUUCCACUAGUGCAGAUCUUGGUGGUAGUAGCAAAUAUUCAAGUGAGAUCCUUGAAGACUGAAGUGGAGAAGGGUUCCACGUGAACAGCAGUUGAAUGUGGGUCAGUCGAUCCUAAGGCACCGGCUAAAGCCGUCUAGACACUGCGGGGAGAUGAGAUACUUAACGGUAACUUGUCUACCUGGUUGCCGAAAGGAAGUGGGUUAAUAUUCCCACACCAGGCAUGGGAGAUUGUGAUCCGCGAGGAUUACUUUGCGCGGUGACGCAAACGAACUCGCAGACCUCGUGUGGAGUCCGGGCCAGAGUUCUCUUUUCUGAUUUAGAGAUCAUGUCCCUGGAAGUGGCUCAGCCUGAGAUAGGGAUACUGGUCUUGUAAAGCGCAGCGGUUCCUGUUGUGUCCCGUGUGCUCCACAUGAGCCGUGAAAAUGCGAGGGAGGCAAUUUAAAAUCUCCUGCCUGAUCGUACCCAUAUCCGCAGCAGGUCUCCAAGGUGAACAGCCUCUAGUCGAUAGAAUAAUGUAGGUAAGGGAAGUCGGCAAAUUAGAUUCGUAACUUCGGGAAAAGAAUUGGCUCUAAAGGUUGGGUCAGUCGGGCUGUUGUGUGAAACUGGUGGACUUUGCUCGUGGCUGCUUGAGCUUCCUUACGGGGCGGCGCUUGUGGACUAGUAGUGAGGACUGCUUGUGGAGUGCUUCAGCUGCGUGCUAUUUCGCAAGAUAUAGUACUUCGAUUGGCGCUGAACAACCAGUUUAGAACUGGCACGAACUCCGGAAUCCGACUGUCUAAUUAAAACAGAGGAGACGGAUGGUCCUUGCAGGACGUUGACCGUGUCUGAUUUCUGCCCAGUGCUCUGAAUGUUAAGCCAAGGAAACUUGAUUAAGCGCCAAGUUUCACCAGGCAUUUUUGGUUUAGAGUCUGUGACGAUCCGAUUAAAAAUUGCCUCAGGCAAAGUAGACCAAAGUGCAAUUGACCAAGUGUCGUAGGGUUCAGGCAAUAGGGUUCCCCCAGGCAAUCAAAUUUCACCAGGCAUUUUUGGUUUAGAGUCUGUGACGAUCCGAUUAAAAAUUGCCUCAGGCAAAGUAGACCAAAGUGCAAUUGAAGUGCCUCUGAAGUUUCCCCCAGGAUAGCUGGAGCUCAAGAGUAGUUAUACUCGGUAAAGCGAAUGAUUAGAGGACUUGGGAACGAAAUGUUCUUAACCUAUUCUCAAACUCUAAAUGGUUAUGAUGUCAAAGUUGCUUGAUUUUGAACUUUGGCGUUGAAUACGAGCUCCAAGUGGGCCAUUUUUGGUAAGCAGAACUGGCGAUGUGGGAUGAACCAAACGCGGAGUUGCGGUGCCAAAGUAUCCGCUCAUUAGACCCCAUAAAAGGUGUUGGUUGAUACAGACAGCAGGACGGUGGCCAUGGAAGUCGGAAUCCGCUAAGGAGUGUGUAACAACUCACCUGCCGAAUCAACUAGCCCUGAAAAUGGAUGGCGCUGGAGCGGUCACCUAUACUCUGCCGUCAUAAGCUUGUAUUUUGU
rnacentral:rRNA from 1 species